UACAGAGGGUGCGAGCGUUAAUCGGAAUUACUGGGCGUAAAGCGCGCGUAGGCGGCUUUGCAAGUCGGGUGUGAAAUCCCCAGGCUUAACCUGGGAACUGCAUUCGAGACUGCAUUGCUAGAGUAUGGGAGAGGGAAGUGGAAUUUCCGGUGUAGCGGUGAAAUGCGUAGAUAUCGGAAGGAACAUCAGUGGCGAAAGCGGCAUCCUGGACCGGCAUUGACGCUGAGGCGCGAAAGCCAGGGGAGCAAACGGG
rnacentral:rRNA from 1 species